UACGUAGGGGGCAAGCGUUGUCCGGAUUUAUUGGGCGUAAAGAGCGUGUAGGCGGCCAAGCAGGUCAUGCUGUGAAAACUCGAGGCUCAACCUCGAGACGUCGGUUGAAACCGCUUGGCUAGAGUCCGGAAGAGGAGAGUGGAAUUCCCGGUGUAGCGGUGAAAUGCGCAGAUAUCAGGAAGAACACCUAUGGCGAAGGCAGCUCUCUGGGACGGUACUGACGCUGAGACGCGAAAGCGUGGGGAGCGAACAGG
rnacentral:rRNA from 1 species